CCCAGUACCCCCUAGUGUCCCUAUGUCUCCCUAUGUCCCUAUGUCUCCCAGUGUCCCCUAGUGUCUGUGUCCCCUAGUGUCUCAGUUUCCCCUAGUCUCCCAGUGCCCCCUAGUGUCUCAGUUUCCCCUAGUCUCCCAGUGUCCCGUAGUGUCUCCCAGUGUCCCCUAGUGUCUGUGUCCCCAUGUCUCACUGCAGCCUUUCCCCCAUUCCUCAUUUACCUGAGCUGUAGGCUGUCUCUGCAGGCUCAGAGCUGCUGUCUGGAUUCUCUGUGUAGAGCUGCUCUCCCCC